UGGAAGUACUUCCGUCGUGAGCAUGCCGCCACUCUGGAAAACAAAAUGGGACUGUCGGAGGUUGUGGGUCACAGCUCCCCCUGCACCAUGAAAACAUCACUGCUGGAGCCUUUACUCAUGGUUCAAAAGCCCAGGAAACUCUUCCACACGCCUGACCUGCUGUACUCGUCAAGCACCCAAAAGGAAAGACAAAAUAACCUGGAAAAAUAGUCCAUGUUUGCAAACUGCUUGUAGAUUUCUACUGGAAACCUUUUACCAUUUCUAAAUGCAGUGGUUUAACCCGCACUGGCUGCGUGCUGACUCCUUAUCGAGGGCUGGCUUUACAAGGACGGACAUGCUCGCGGUGGAGGUGGGCUCUCACGUGAAGACAAUCAGGAGAAUUUGGCUGCCACGGAUGGCAAACAGUAUCUGUCAGUUUGCUUCACCUUUGUGGAACUGUCCUGUGGCGUGUGCACUCGGCUCCAUCACCGACCGAUUCAAGCUCCGUCUCCCGGCUACCUCGGAUCCUGGAGCCCCACCUCCACCAGAAAGGAAAAAAAUGUCCAGACCAGCUAACUCAAGACUCAGGGAACGGAAGGAAAAGGAAUCAUUUGCAAAAGCAAUCGAGUCCCUACAAGGACUUUCUUCUCUGCAGAUUCUUGUCAUCACGAAGUGACACGUUGAUCCCUCUACCUCAACCCUCGUAAAACCCUGUGACGGAACGAGGAGUCUGGAGCCAGCUGGGAGCAGUGAAGGGGGCUGGGCCAUUUCCUUUUGCAAACGUUCAAGUACUUUGUCGGUUGCAAUGGAUCAGAAAAAAAAAAAAAUGCCGGAGGCUGAACCUGGAGGGCUUGAGGGCUUGCAGAGGCAGCCAGCUGAAACUUUGCAAACAUUUAGCAUCCAGCUCAUUUUUAAUCUCAUAAGCCUAAUUUUUCCCCCCAGCAUAUGGGAUGCAUAAAAAGGAAAUAAAACUUUCGUCAAUUGAGCCUUCCUUGUGCUU
rnacentral:lncRNA from 1 species